GGAGUUUGAUUAUGGCUCAGAUUGAACGCUGGCGGGAUGCUUUGCCACAUGCAAGUCGAACGGCAAGGCACACUGGACUUCGGUCUGGUGGCGAGUGGCGAAACGUAGCAAUGUAUUUGAACGUGCCUAGUAGCGGAUAAUCACGCGAAAGCGAAGAAUACCGCAUACGCCCUUCGGGGAAAGCGGGGGACCUUCGGGCCUCGCACUUAUUAGAGCGGCUGAUAUCGGAUUAGCUAGUUGCGGGGUAACGGCUCACCAAGGCGACGAUCCGUAGCUGGUUUGAGAGGACGACCAGCCACACUGGGACUGAGACACGGCCCAGACUCCUACGGGAGGCAGCAGGGGAAUUUUUGACAAUGGGGAAACCCGAUCCAGCCAUCCCGCGUGCAUGAAGGCCUUCGGGUUGUAAAGCACUUUUGGCAGGAAAGAAACGGCACGAUAAUACCCCCGUGCAACUGGACGGUACCUGCAGAAUAAGCACCACAACUACGCCAGCAGCCGCGGUAAUACGUAGGGUGCAAGCGUUAAUCGGAAUUACUGGCGUAAAGCGUGCGCAGGCGGUUCAAGAAAAGAUGGUAAACCCUAGAGCUUAACUGGAACUGCAUUUUUAACUAAUGAGCUAGAGUGUGUCAAGAGGAGGUGGAAUUCUGUGUAGCAGUGAAAUGCAGAGAUAUGCGGAGGAACACACUGAUGGCGAAGGCAGCCUCCUGGGAUAAUAAUUGGUCAUGCACGAAAAGCGUGGGGAGCAAACAGAUUAGGAUAAUUCUAUAGUCCACGCCCUUAAACGAUGUCAACUAGCUGUUGGGGCCGGCCCAGCGCAGCUUAAUACAGGAAGUUGACCGUCUGGGGAGUACGGUCGCAAGAUUAAAACUCGUUAAUUGACGGGGACCCGCACAAGCGGUGGAUGAUGUGAUUAAUUGAUGCAACGCGAAAACCUUACCUACCCGAUAUGUUCAAAUCCUGAAGAGAUCAGAGUGCCUCGCAAGAGAACCGAACACAGCAGCAUGGCUGUCGUCAUUCGUGUCGUGAGAUGUUGUUAAGUUCCGCAACGAGUGCAACCCUUGUCAUUAGUUAAGCUACGGCGCGGCACUCUAAUGAGACUGCUUCGUGACAAAAUCCGGAGGAAGGUGGAUGACGUCAACUUUGCGCGGCUCCGCAGGGUAGGGCUUCACACGUCACAAUGGUCGGGACAGAGGGCUCGCCAACCUAUGAGGGGGAGCCAAUCCCAGAAACCCGAUCAGUCCGGAUCGCAGUCUGCAAACUCGACUGCGUGAAGUCAAACGCUUAGUAAUCGCGGAUCGGUAUGUCGCAGAAUACGUUCCGGGUCUGCACACUCGCCCGUCACACCAUGGAGUGGGUUUACCGAAGUAGUUAGCCUAACCGUAUGAGGCGCGAUUACCACGGUAGGAUUCAUGACUGGGGUGAAGUCGUAAACCACAGU
rnacentral:rRNA from 1 species